UGCACUGAUACCCAUUGAUCAUCCGUUUCUCUCUCACUCCUAAACUACUCGAAGUCCAUCCCUCAGCUCAUCGCCCUCUUUCUUUGCUAAACCACUCGAUCUUCCUUCACCCACCUGCAAAAUGCCCCUUCAUUUAUCAUCACCACUUUCUACUAUCUCCCUCUGCUCAUCUUCAUCUUCUUCUUCGUCUUUCAAUGAUUCGUCGCAUAACUACAAUUUGACCCAGCCAUGGCUUCGCCGGAAGGUCGACCCGAGGGGACCCGGAAGGCAUGUGUACUGUUUGUCGACGAGGCCCAAGAGAAAAGCGAGCGCGGGGAGAGAGGACUCGGAGGCAGAGGAUCUGGUGAGGGUUCUGAUGAGGAAGUUCAGCGACAGAGAGCCCUUGGUGAAGACGAUGGAUAAGUACGUCAGGGUUGUGAGGACCGAGCACUGCUUCCUCCUCUUUGAAGAGCUGGGCAAGACUGAUAAAUGGACACAGUGCCUGGAGGUGUUCAGGUGGAUGCAGAAGCAGCGCUGGUAUGUAGCCGACAAUGGUGUAUAUUCAAAGCUAAUUUCAGUCAUGGGUAAGAAAGGGCAAACUCGAAUGGCCAUGUGGCUGUUCUCAGAGAUGCGAAAUAGUGGGUGCCGGCCCGACACAUCAGUUUACAAUGCGCUCAUUACUGCUCACCUUCACUCUAGUGACAAAGCAAAGGCUUUGGCCAAAGCUCUUGGUUAUUUUGGCAAGAUGAAGGGAAUGGAACGCUGUAAGCCUAACGUCGUGACCUAUAACAUCCUUUUGAGAGCUUUUGCUCAAGCUCGAAAUGUGGAACAAGUCAACGCUUUGUUCAAGGACCUCGAUGAAAGUAUUGUUUCGCCCGACGUAUAUACUUUCAAUGGUGUGAUGGAUGCAUAUGGGAAAAAUGGGAUGAUCCAAGAAAUGGAGUCUGUGCUUUCUCGUAUGAAAAGCAAUCAAUGUAAGCCCGACGUUAUCACAUUCAAUUUGCUGAUUGAUUCGUAUGGGAAGAGGCAGGAAUUUGAGAAGAUGGAACAAGUCUUCAAGAGCUUACUGCGGUCUAAGGAGAAGCCAACAUUGCCUACAUUUAACUCAAUGAUCAUAAACUACGGGAAGGCAAGACUCAAGGACAAAGCAGAACACGUGUUUAAAAGGAUGGGUGCUACGAAGUACACGCCGAACCACAUCACAUGGGAGAGUCUAAUAAUGAUGUAUGGGUUCUGCGACUGUGUUUCUAAAGCUCGGGAUAUAUUUGAUGAGUUGAUUGAAUCUGGGAAGGACAUAAAAAUAUCAACCUUAAAUGCUAUGCUUGAUGUUUACUGCAUGAAUGGUCUACCCAUCGAGGCAGACAUGCUUUUUGAGACAGCAAGAAGUGUUGGGGUUAAUCCUGAUUCAUCAACAUAUAAACUUCUGUACAAGGCAUAUACUAAGUCUGAGAAAAAGGAGCUUGUAGACAAGCUGCUGGUGUGUAUGGACAGAGCUGGCAUCGUCCCCAACAAAAGAUUCUUCCUUGAUGCACUGGGUGCUUUUGGGUCUCUACCUGCUUCUCCAGAUUCUGACAGUGCAAAGAGUUUAAGCAGGCCAGAAGCAACUACUAAGGCUUGAGUAGAAUUAGCUCAUCAAUUUUGUUGUAUGGGGUAAUUCUCUCCAUUCAAAUGGAGCUCUCCAAGAAAGACUCAUAAUACGAGAACAGAGCAACGAUUCUUCAACUGGUCCACCGAGAUGUGACUUACUCUUUCAGUACUGAAUGUUGCUCAGCUGCGAUUGGCAGCACCGUUGCGGCUGUUGUCUGGUCUGACUGGAAUUGGGAGGAACUAGCAGCUGCUUUCUUCAACUGUAUCUCUAGGUUGCAAAAUCCUGGAAAACUUCCCUCAGAGAAGGUAAUCCGAGAGAAUUUCAGACUUCCAUAUUUCAUUCAUUUGUACUAGGAUAAUAGUCAGAUAUCCAUAGGAAGAUGCAUCUUGUAUUUUUUAUGUUCAAAUGUUGAUUAACGUCUUGUCAGUUGUUUUUUCUUGUUCUUCUAGAUUUCAGAUGUAAUCUUAGGAUUAGCAUCCCUUUUUCCAUCCAGCGCUUGAGUGUAAGAAAAGGUCAAUUUCUUCUAUAAAUUGAACAAUCAUUCCAAUUAGAGUGCUCGUUUCUAUGAACUUGUUUUGCCGUAGAGAUGUACAGCUGAUGCCCCUCGAGCUUUUGAGCAUCAUCUUUGGCGGGGCC